rnacentral:misc_RNA from 1 species
GUAGGUGAACCUGCGGAAGGAUCAUUAAAGAGUACCGGAGCUCUCGGGUUCCUACUCCCACCCUAUGAUGACUUUAAAUGUUGCUUUGGCGGACCGGCAAUAUUGCCACCGGCCUAGGCUGGAUAGCGUCCGCCAGAGGAUUUUUAAAUUCCUUUGAAUGUGAAUUCUGAGUCUUUGAAAAUUGAAUCAAAACUUUCAACAACGGAUCUCUUGGUUCUG